rnacentral:lncRNA from 1 species
UUGGAGCUUAUUGGAUAUGGAUGCUAGCAUGUAGCAUCGGGCCUUAUUAUUAUCAUCCAACUAUUUUUUGUGGGUAGCCCUUUGAUCAAGGGUCAGACGAGCUAGUAGAGGGGGAAGGUCCUGGUCAAGAAUAUAGUUCAACUUCUCAAAACUCAAGAUUAUCUUCAAGUUAUGGAGCCAAUCUUUAUAAUUGAGUUCAGUCAAUCGGUUGGUUUCUAGGAUAUGAGUGAGU